UACGAAGGGGGCGAGCGUUGUUCGGAAUUACUGGGCGUAAAGGGCGCGUAGGCGGCCGAUCAAGUUAGAUGUGAAAGUCCUGGGCUUAGCCUGGGGACUGCAUUUGAUACUGAUUGGCUUGAAUUCGGGAGAGGAUAGCGGAAUUCCCAGUGUAGAGGUGAAAUUCGUAGAUAUUGGGAAGAACACCGGUGGCGAAGGCGGCUAUCUGGACCGACAUUGACGCUGAGGCGCGAAAGCGUGGGGAGCAAACAGG
rnacentral:rRNA from 1 species